rnacentral:tRNA from 1 species
GCCUUUGUGGUGGAAUGGUAGACACGAUAGACUCAAAAUCUAUUACUUGCGAGGGUGUGCCGGUUCAAGUCCGGCUAAAGGUA